rnacentral:rRNA from 1 species
CCUACGGGUGGCAGCAGUGGGGAAUAUUGCACAAUGGGGGAAACCCUGAUGCAGCAACGCCGCGUGAAGGAAGACGGUUUUCGGAUUGUAAACUUCUGUUCUUAGUGAAGAAUAAUGACGGUAGCUAAGGCGCCAGCCACGGCUAACUACGUGCAAGCAGCCGCGGUAAUACGUAGGUGGCAAGAGUGGUCCGGAAUUACUGGGUGUAAAGGGGGCGCAGGCGGGAAGCCAAGUCAGCUGUGAAAAGUUCGGGCUUAAAUUGGAGACUGCCGUUGAAACUGGUUGUCUUGAGUGAAGUAGAGGUUGGCGGAAUUCCGGGUGUAGCGGUGAAAUGCGUAGAUAUUCGGAGGAACACCGGUGGCGAAGGCGGCCAACUGGGCUUUAACUGACGCUGAGGCACGAAAGUGUGGGGAGCAAACAGGAUUAGAUACCCUUGUAGUC